CCCUUAGAUGUCCUGGCUGCACGCGCGCUACACUGAUGUGUCCAGUAAGCACCUAACCUCUUCCGAAAGGAACGGGUAACCUUUGCAAAGCACAUCGUGAUGGGGAUAGAUUAUUGCAAUUAUUAGUCUUGAACGAGGAAUUCCUAGUAAGCACAAGUCAUCAGCUUGUGUUGAUUACGUCCCUGCCCUUUGUACACACCGCCCGUCGCUCCUACCGAUUGAAUGUUCCGGUGAGCUCUUCGGACUGCGCGGUCUGCAGUUUCUGCGUUCCGUGCGGAAAGUUGCGCAAACCUUAACAUUUAGAGGAAGGAGAAGUCGUAACA
rnacentral:rRNA from 1 species